GAUGAACGCUGGCGGCGUGCCUAAUACAUGCAAGUCGAGCGAAUGGAUUAAGAGCUUGCUCUUAUGAAGUUAGCGGCGGACGGGUGAGUAACACGUGGGUAACCUGCCCAUAAGACUGGGAUAACUCCGGGAAACCGAGGCUAAUACCGGAUAACAUUUUGAACCGCAUGGUUCGAAAUUGAAAGGCGGCUUCGGCUGUCACUUAUGGAUGGACCCGCGUCGCAUUAGCUAGUUGGUGAGGUAACGGCCGACCAAGGCAACGAUGCGUAGCCGACCGUAGGGGGUGACCGGCCACACUGGGACUGGGACACGGCCCAGACUCCUACGGGAGGCAGCAGUAGGGAAUCUUCCGCAAUGGACGAAAGUCUGACGGAGCAACGCCGCGUGAGUGAUGAAGGCUUUCGGGUCGUAAAACUCUGUUGUUAGGGAAGAACAAGUGCUAGUUGAAUAAGCUGGCACCUUGACGGUACCUAACCAGAAAGCCACGGCUAACUACGUGCCAGCCGCCGCCGUAA
rnacentral:rRNA from 1 species